AACUGACAGUGCUCAGUCCUUCAGGAUGAUUCUCCUGUGCCUUGUCCUAUUUCUACCACGGUGCUUGUCACAGGCAAUGAAGCUGCCCAUUACUGCCUGUUUUGCCCAUCAUUGUGUCAACUCAGAGUAGAAAUCAUGCUGGAUUGUACAGGGUGCUUAAUUUUAAACAACUUGAUCAAAGGUUUUACCCCUGUUGGGCAAAUGGAAAUGUGCUCUUGGCUUACAGAACAGUGAGGCCUCUUGCUGGAGUUACAGUGUGAAUAGCUCAAUAGCUCAAGGAACACAAAUCUCUCCACCAGCAACUACAGAUCCCACCUCCUCUUUGUGGCCUCCCAGUUCCCAGGCCACCCUCUUUGAUGGUCCAGCUGUUCAGCUGCGUCCAGCUCCUAAAUGACAAGAGUCCCCGUCCUAUAUCAUUGGCUAACUUCUGAGAGAAAUGACUAAGAGAGAAGACACAUCUACUAACUCCCUCUGCUCUGGAAGCUCCUGGAAGAUGCAGCACAGAGCCAGGGACAAAAUAAUUUCAACAGAGUAGGAGGAGAAUCCUGGCUGACAUCUAAGCUGUGACAGAGAGAAGAUGCAGUCUCUGGAGGCUGUGCGUGCACACCUGAGCCCCGAUGGUUCACUGCCAUGCCCAGCAGCGGCCUACCAGCUCCAACCCCCGAAAUCACCUCUUGGCAUCUGCAUCCCCACAUGAUUUGAGAUGUCUGUCGCCCAAGCAUCUGAGCUGCCUUGUCCCUUUUCUGCUUCAUUCUCUUGAAAAAGUGCAACUACAAAAGGGUGACCCACAAAACCCCAUAAAACCAAGUUCUUAGUAUAGUGGAGUUCAAUCAACUUCGUGAAGGAAAAAAAAAGGCUCUUUUAUCUCCACUACCACAAAGGAGUAGGCAGUCAUAGACAGCACUCCCCCAAUCCCAGUAAAAAAAGAAACAUCUUCAUGACAACAUAACAAAUAAGACUGAGAUUCUAUUGACUCCAACCACAUUGGCACACUGCCAAAAGGAAGGGGAGGGCAAAGUCUGAGGCCUGGUUUAAUGUCCACAGUAGAGAUGGUCAUUCCCUGGUGUUUGUCAAAUCUAACCUCCUAUCUAUGGAAACUGGAGCGAGGCAGAGUAAUAGCACAGCCUGAAAACAGUGUGGGCUGGCUCUCCACUGUGUAAAUGGGGCAGGCAGGGGCAUUUAAUAGAUGUUCUACUAGGAAUACUUGCUCUCCUAGCAAGGCAAACCCCUUUUGGAGAGGAAAGAAUGGAUGCUGAAAGCCACUGUCUCCUGGGAGCUACUCUGCUCAUCUGUGCAACAAGGCCAUAAGCAAACAUCUCUCUAACAAUGCAAACAAACCAAGCUACUGUAGGAGGCAUUUAAAGAGUGAUGGGUACAUGAUGUAUCAAAACUUUCUUGUUUCUGAAUACUGGUUACAGAGAAAAUACAUCAGCUACCAAUUUAUUAAUCGUGUCACAGAAUGCCGGGAAAGGGCUCAACCUCCUGGGAGUUAUAAGGGGUUCUUGAUAUUGUGGUUUUGUUGUUCCUUACCCUUACAUCAGCUCCUAAAAGUCUCAUCUGUAAUGGUCCAACUGUUCUCAAAAAAUUAUUUCAUGAUAACAGGAGGAAAGGCUGACGGGUGGUGCAACCCUCUUUGAAUAUCUUUCUAGCAAAGUUACAAUACAGAAGGGAUCCUCUCAGAUGGGUUAAGGGCACCUCCUAGGUAAACCCACCUUCCAGCCUGGAACCGUAUGGUGAAAGAGAACCUGCAAGUCGUCCUCUUAACUCUACACACUGCCAUGUCAUGAAUGUCCUUUCCCAAUAAAUGUUUAUAAAAAAUUAAUGAGUUAAGAACACAAAGUGCCACUAACCGAUAAUGCCCUUGAGGUCUUUUUAAUACUGGCUAAUGCUAAGCUAGAUUCCCUAAUCACCACCACCGCUGUCUGUGAAGAAAGGUUAUCCGCGAUGGGAAAAAGGGGGGUGGGGAGAGUCAAACCCGAGGCUUAGGGAAGCCCUUGGGGGUGGGGUUCGGCGAGGAGCUCCUGCUCUUGAACGCUUUUGUCCCCUCCUACAGCACACCCCUAAAAGCCCAGUCCCAUUCUGCCAGGGACUGGCUGCAGGCCAACUUCGCGUUUCUAACGAGAGUCUCGUCAGCAUAGAGGGGUCGUGACCUCUGUUCCCCAGGCCGCCCCGGAGUUCAGAGCGGGCCACACAGGGCAAAAAUGCUGUGUCAGUAGCCGCAGGCUGGAGUUCCUGGGCCCGGGGGAGUCCGCUCAAUGUUACCACCACGCAAGAUAGGGUCCCCUCACCUCCAUCGGUUGAUGCCCACUGACGAGGAGGCCGCGAACCACGGGUCGAGGAUGUAGACGCAGCGCACACAGCGCGCCCCGCGCACGGCAGCUAACAGCGCGGGGUUGUCGUGGAGCCGUAGUCCUUUGCGGAACCAGUGCACGGAGGACGCGCCGUCCGCGCCCAUCGACUGCGCGGGGACCGUCGCUGCCACCACAGCAGCCGCCGCCAUCGCCGCCCGGACUGGGUCUUGGUCUGCUGCUCCGCCCCUGGCCACACCGUCGGUCCCGCCCAGUGCCCGCCCAGCGGCCUAUAAUGCAGCCUCUCCCUGCCAUAGCUCCACCCCAAGGAGCCUGAAUCGUCUCUGUGAUUGGGUGACACCGGGUGGGUCCCUCCCUCUGUUCCAUUGGUCGGCAGCGCCGACGCAGGCCCCGCCCCCUCACGUUCCCACCAUGUGUGGUCCGGGCUUGGUAGCCACCGGUCGGUGACGCAGGAUGGCGCUGUGCCCGCCCCGCGUGGGCUGAGUCUGGAGGGACCCCGGAUCUCCUACGCAUUUCGCGUCUCCUACGCAAAUAGGGAUUGAGGUGACUCCGGCCGGUGGCUGACAGAUCUGUCACCAGGCCCUUUCUUGCAGUACGUUGUACUGUUCAUAUUCGAGGCUGGCUGAGCAGUGAUUGCCUUACACAAACUGUCCUAUUUUCUAUUUUCAUCCCGGUUACGUUCAUUCCACAAACACGAAUAAAACAGAUGCUUGUUAGUCUUA